UCUUGCUCAAACACAAAUCUGCCAGAAGAGGUUCCAGGCGCCCGCUGGCAGCCCUGAACCGGCUUCCUUCUCCUCCUGCCCUCAGCAGUCCUUGUGGUAAAAAUGCAGCAUGACAGAUGGUUCAAUAGUGAAGCAAAGAUGGAGGGCCAGAGUCCCACACCUCCCCGGCACCCAGCCUCCUACACAGCCGUGCUGGAGUGAACCUCAUUGUUUAACCCUGAUUGGCUUGGAACCCUUGCUUUCAUAGACCAGGAUGGGUCUUGAACUCACUGCUUCUCCUUGUCAAAGGCAGAAGCUGUUUUCCCAAGUUCCCCCGAGGGGGGUGCUGGCUUUUGUCCAAGUGCCAGAGAAGAGAGAAUAGACUCCUGACAAUUCUCUUUUGGCCUCCAUCUGUGCGUUCUGCUUGUCCUGGACCUAGCUCUUGUGGAGCCUGCCUAAGACUAGACGACCCAGAGUCAGGAGUUUUGUGCCUGGCCUUGAAUUUACAGAGAUCCUCCAGAAUUGAAUUUACAGAGUGAUGGGAUUAAAGGCCUGCACCACCACCACCGCCUGGCGGAAACUCUGUCUUGAAAAACAAAACAAUCAAACAAACAAAAUUUGCCUUGUCCUGACACUUCUGUUGGAGUGACGUUUCUAUCUUUGUGACCCUGAACAUAUUUCUAAUACCAUGGUAUUCACAUGUACACACAUGGACACUGUAAUCGAUUAUUAAAAAUUGCUGCGUGGAAACACUGCAGGGUCCCCAAGAGGUGGCAGGCAGGGGGCAGUGGGUCCCUAGGCAAGGACUGCGCACAAGACCUGGCCUCCGAAGGUGGCUGGUCUCCGUGGCAUCCCAUGUGACAGCAGGUGAGAGACAGAUGAAUAGGCACACCAUGCAGAGUGAGG